AUUGAACGCUGGCGGCAUGAUUUACACAUGCAAGUCGAACGGUAACAGGCCGCAAGGUGCUGACGAGUGGCGAACGGGUGAGUAAUGCAUCGGAACGUGCCCAGUCGUGGGGGAUAACUACUCGAAAGAGUAGCUAAUACCGCAUACGAUCUAUGGAUGAAAGCGGGGGACCGUAAGGCCUCGCGCGAUUGGAGCGGCCGAUGCCAGAUUAGGUAGUUGGUGGGGUAAAGGCUCACCAAGCCAACGAUCUGUAGCUGGUCUGAGAGGACGACCAGCCACACUGGGACUGAGACACGGCCCAGACUCCUACGGGAGGCAGCAGUGGGGAAUUUUGGACAAUGGGCGCAAGCCUGAUCCAGCAAUGCCGCGUGCAGGAAGAAGGCCUUCGGGUUGUAAACUGCUUUUGUACGGAACGAAACGGCUCUGGUUAAUACCCGGGGCUAAUGACGGUACCGUAAGAAUAAGCACCGGCUAACUACGUG
rnacentral:rRNA from 1 species